UAGGGAAUCUUCGGCAAUGGACGAAAGUCUGACCGAGCAACGCCGCGUGAGUGAAGAAGGUUUUCGGAUCGUAAAACUCUGUUGUUAGAGAAGAACAAGGACGUUAGUAACUGAACGUCCCCUGACGGUAUCUAACCAGAAAGCCACGGCUAACUACGUGCCAGCAGCCGCGGUAAUACGUAGGUGGCAAGCGUUGUCCGGAUUUAUUGGGCGUAAAGCGAGCGCAGGCGGAUUCUUAAGUCUGAUGUGAAAGCCCCCGGCUCAACCGGGGAGGGUUAUUGGAAACUGGGAGACUUGAGUGCAGAAGAGGAGAGUGGAAUUCCAUGUGUAGCGGUGAACUGCGUAGAUAUAUGGAGGAACACCAGUGGCGAAGGCGGCUCUCUGGUCUGUAACUGACGCUAAGGCUCGAAAGCGUAGGGAGCAAACAGG
rnacentral:rRNA from 1 species